rnacentral:rRNA from 1 species
UACGAAGGGGGCUAGCGUUGCUCGGAAUCACUGGGCGUAAAGGGUGCGUAGGCGGCUUUUUAAGUCAGGUGUGAAAUCCUGGAGCUCAACUCCAGAACUGCCUUUGAUACUGAAGAUCUUGAGUCCGGGAGAGGUGAGUGGAACUGCGAGUGUAGAGGUGAAAUUCGUAGAUAUUCGCAAGAACACCAGUGGCGAAGGCGGCUCACUGGCCCGGUACUGACGCUGAGGCACGAAAGCGUGGGGAGCAAACAGG